rnacentral:rRNA from 1 species
AGUGAACGCUGGCGGUAGGCCUAACACAUGCAAGUCGAACGGCAGCACAGGAGAGCUUGCUCUCUGGGUGGCGAGUGGCGGACGGGUGAGGAACACAUCGGAAUCUACUUUUUCGUGGGGGAUAACGUAGGGAAACUUACGCUAAUACCGCAUACGACCUACGGGUGAAAGCAGGGGACCUUCGGGCCUUGCGCGAUUGAAUGAGCCGCUGUCGGAUUAGCUAGUUGGCGGGGUAAAGGCCCACCAAGGCGACGAUCCGUAGCUGGUCUGAGAGGAUGAUCAGCCACACUGGAACUGAGACACGGUCCAGACUCCACGGGAGGCAGCAGUGGGGAAUAUUGGACAAUGGGCGCAAGCCUGAUCCAGCCAUACCGCGUGGGUGAUGAAGGCCUUCGGGUUGUAAAGCCCUUUUGUUGGGAAAGAAAUCCAGCUGGCUAAUACCCGGUUGGGAUGACGGUACCCAAAGAAUAAGCACCGGCUAACUACGUGCCAGCCGCCGCCGUAA